UGUGUGUGUGUCAGUAUGGAUCAAUGUGUCAGUAUGGAUCAAUGUGUGUGUGUGUGUGUGUGUGUGUCAGUAUGGAUCAAUGUGUGUGUGUGUCAGUAUGGAUCAAUGUGUCAGUAUGGACAAUGUGUGUGUGUCAGUAUGGAUCAAUGUGUCAGUAUGGAUCAAUGUGUGUGUGUGUGUGUGUCAGUAUGGAUCAAUGUGUCAGUAUGGAUCAAUGUGUGUUUGUGUGUGUGUGUGUCAGUAUGGAUCAAUGUGUCAGUAAGGAUCAAUGUGUGUGUGUCAGUAUGGAUCAGUGUGUGUGUGUGUGUGUGUCAGUAUGGAUCAGUGUGUGUGUCAGUAUGGAUCAAUGUGUCAGUAUGGAUCAAUGUGUGUGUGUGUGUGUGUGUCAGUAUGGAUCAAUGUGU